rnacentral:lncRNA from 1 species
AAGCCACGGUUUUUGUGUCCGCGGCUGCACCCCUCUCGAAGCGUUUUCACGCACAUGUGAGAAACCUCACACCCUGGGGCCGAUUUCUUUAGUAGAUUGGCGCCCAAAUGGCAAAGAUUUCCAGGGAUUUGUUUGGGAUUCCAUAUUUUUGUAGAUUUGCCGAGAUUGGAUACUAGUACAAUAUUGAGAAUUCCCGUCCAGCAAUGUGGCUAUUUUUUUAAAUUAAUUCAGUUCUCCCUUUGUUUUUCAGGUAAAGCGUUGCAGUUCGCUUGGUGUUGUGCGCAUUUAACAUUUUUUCAUAGCUAUUUUUGUUAUUGUAGUUUGUUUUUACUAAUAGACUAUUAAUCCAUUAGUAUCCUUGUAUAAGAAUGGCUUUUGAUUGUUGAUCUAUCUGGACACUUCACUAAACGUUCGUAUUCUAAAAAUUUGACAGGCAGUCCUCUUUGAUUUGUAGGUAAGAAUUUAUCUGUAAAGAACAAUUUUGGCUUUUCCCAAGAAUCCAGUGCAACACUGAAUAGUAGCCGGAGGUACUUAUUUCUUACCAGGAGUUAUUUUGGAUUGCAUCUUAGGUUUCAUUCAAGAUAUCUUCUGCAGGUUUAUGGUGUGUGUGUGUGUGGGUGUAUAGGCAAAUUAUGUUCUUUUCGUAGUUUACCAUAUCGGUUUUUUUUUUAAUCAGCAAAUGACUAAGUUUUACCAAGUAUUUUCAGUAUCAGUCUUUGAGAUGAUUGUAUGGCCUUUUUUCCAUUACUCUACAAUAAAAUAACUACAAUAAUAGAUUUUCUAAUGGUGAGCCAAACUUAGAAUCCUGGUAUCUUAUUUUUUCAAUAUAUUGCUGGAUGCAAUUUGCUGUGUAGUUAAUUUUGGAUUUUCAUGUAUGCACCUAAGUUAGAUUGGCUUAUGGUUUUCUUUUGCUGUCCUUGUCUAGUUUUGGUAUCAGGUUGUGCUAGGAGUCAGACAGGUUAACUUAUUUUUGUAUGACCUGGAAUAGACAUAGCAUGUGUGAAUGAUACAUUUCUUAGGUUUUGAAGAACUCAUCUUUAAAGCCUUCUGGGUGUGGUGCCAUCUUAAUGGAUAGUUUUGUUUUUUAUAUAGCGUCCAUCGUUAUUGAUACCUAGAAUUUUUUCUUUUGCUUCUUGAGAAAAUUAGUUUUUUCUAGAAAAGUAUUGGCCGGGUGCGGUGACUCACGCCUGUGAUCCCAGCACAUUGGGAGGCCGAGGAGGGCGGAUCACGAGGUCAGGAGAUCGAGACCAUCCUGGCUAACACGGUGAAACUCCGUCUCUACUAAAAAUACGACAAUGAAAAAUUAGCCGGGCAUGGUGGCGGGCGCCUGUAGUCCCAGCUACUCAGGAGGCUGAAGCAGGAGAAUGGCUUGAACCCGGGAGGCGGAGCUUGCAGUGAGCUGAGAUUUUGCUACUGCACUCCAGCCUGGGGGACAGAGCGAGACUCCAUCUUUAAAAAAAAAGUAUUUCAGCUAUAUUUUCUAACAUUUAAAAAAAUCUCAUAUUGUUCUCAACCAUUCUUAUAUAUUCUUAUAUAUAUAUUCUUAUAUAUUGUAUUGGAGUCUUUUUCUUGAUCAUAUUUAUCAAACCAGCUUUUGGUUUUAUAGAUAAAAUCUGUCUUAAAAGUAAUUUCUCUUUCAUUAAUGUAUGCCUUCAUUAAUUUCUUCUUAUCUCUUUGGGUUUAUUUUGUUCUUUUUAUAGAAUCUUGGAAGCUUAACUUUCCUUUAAAAUGUUUAAUAUGAAAUAUUACCAGAAUGUACAGUUACAGAAAAUAAUAUAAUGAACACUUGUAUACCAACCAUCUAGCUUUAUCCCAUUUUAACAUUUUCUCUUAUUUGCUUCAGAUUUUAACAUUCAGUUAGAGCUCCUUGUGAAACUGCCUGCAAUCUCAUUCUCCCUCUCUUCCUCUCUGAAAUUAACUACUUCAUUGAAUUUGGUAUCUGUCAUUCCCAUGAAAGCUUUUAUGUAUGCUCCAAAUACAUGUAGCGAUGUUAAGUAGCAUAAAGUACUGUUUUAUGCUUUUUAAACCUAAUAUAAAUGAUAUGCAUGUCACUUACUUUUGCCACCUAUAAUUAUGUAUGUAAAAUUUAUCCAGGAUGAUUCCUGUAGUUCUAGUUUUAUUUUAACUGCUGAAUAGUAUUCCAUUGUAUAAUUGUACCACCAUUUAUCCAUUCUCCAGUUGCUAGCAAUUUCAUGAUUCCUGAUUUCUGUCAUUAUAACAUGAGUUAGUUCUUGCACACAGCUUCUUAGACAUAUGGUAAGAAUUUCCUUAGGAUAAUGUCUAGAAAUGGAAUUGCAAGGUGGAAGGGUUUGCACAGUUCAACUUUGAUAUUGCCAAAUUGUUCUCCAGUGGUUGUACUAACUUACCCUCCAUCAGCAAUGUAGGAGAGCUGCUGUUGCUCCAUUCCAUGCCAACACAGGUUAUUUUUUUGCCCCAGUUUUUUUGUUUUGUUGUUUGGUUUUUUUUUUGCUGUUACCAACUGCUGACAGUAAAUUUUCUUGUACAUGUUUCCUGGUACACGUGUGCAAGAGUUUCUCUGACUAUAAAGCUAAUGCAGUUAUUAACUCUAUUUUGUUUUCGGUAUGUUUUUUAAAAGCAUGUACAUGUCCCCCUCAUUUGAGAUUUCUCCCUGUUAAUACUAACACUUAACUUAUUCAUAGAUAUAUCUCACUCAUUUUUUUCUAUGUAUCAUGCUUCCUGUUCUCUUUACUGCCUUUGGUUUGACAGUCUUUUUUUCCAGUUUUUUUCCCGCUUUAGUGGUUUGAAAGUUAUAUUUGAUUUUUAUUCUAUGAAUAGUAGUUACUCUUCUAACUCAUUUAAAGGUGUAUCUUUAUAUAUAUGUGUGUGUGUGUGUUUAGAAUUCAUCAGUAUCCAUAUGAGGCAGUCUGUGUAGUGGUUAAGAGUGGAGCCUGUGAGGCCAGACUGCCUGGAUUCAGAUCCUAGCACUACCACUUAUUAGCUGAGUAACCUAGAGCUUAUUACAUAAACUCUCUGUGCCUCAGUUGUUUCAUCUGUAAAGUGGGGAUAAUACAGCAUAUACCUCAUGAGGUUGUUCUAAGAUUAAUAUGUUAAUAUAUGUAACAUUCUUAGGACAGUGCCUAAUGCUUGGAUCUCUUUACCAGAUUUUUCAUCUAUGGAAUGGGCAGAAGACUUGCCUAUCAGAGUUGUUACAAAAAUUCAGUGCAUUAGUGUAUUCAUUCAUUUUAAUACACUGAGCACCUGCUGUGCACUUUUGAAUUAGACAUGGUUCUCGGCUUCAGUGGUCUCAUAAGGGAACAGACAUGAAAUGCAAUUUCAAUACGAUUUAACCUUAAUACUCUUCCCAUGUUCUCUCUUGUCCCCCUUCUAAUCUGUGCUCCACAUUAAGAGGCAAAACAUUAAUCAGAUCAUGCAUCCUCUGCCCAUCAUAUGUUAACUUUCAUUAUACUUUACAUAAACCAUAAACUUCUCACCAUGGCCUGAGCCCUCAGGUUCUAAACCCUGUGCCUCCCUCUCUAACCUCAUCAACUAUCAUUCUCCUGAUUUCUACCAAAUUCCCACCACACUAUCCUCUUCUCAGUUCCUUGAGCCAACACUCUUCAGUGCCCUCUGCUCAGAUUACUGAUCCACCCUGACAGCUCUUCCCACGACUGACUCAUCUUUCAGAUCUCAGCUUGAUUAGGUCAGGCAGUUAGUUACAAGCAACGGAAUCCACUCUGGUUGAGAAAGAAAAGGACUUUUAAAAAAUCAUGUAGCUCACAGAAUCUCUAGGAGAGCCAGAGGCCAAAUAUGGAAACAACGGUACCCAAACACACUAGACGAUCUAGUGAGAAUCCAUUGCUGCUGCCACCAUUGACACCAAAACUGCAACUUCCACAAACACUGGCGGUCCCCACUGGUAGCCAGAGUUAGGCAUGUUUCCUUCUUCAUCUUGCUCACUUUUUUUUUUUUUUUUUUUUGGAGAUGGAGUCUCACUCUGUCACCCAGGCUGGAGUGCAGUGGCAUGAUCUCAGCUCACUGCAACCUCUGCCUCCCAGGUUCAAGCAAUUCUCCUGCCUCAGCCUCCCGAGUAGCUGGGACUACAGGUGCCCGCCACCACGCCCGGCUAAUUUUUGUAUUUUUAGUAGAGACGAGGUUUCACCUGUUGGCCAGGCUGGUCUCGAACUCCUGACCUUGUGAUCCACCCUCCUCAGCCUCCCAAAGUGCUGGGAUUACAGGCGCGAGCCACUGUGCCCAGCCUGUCUUGCUCACUUUCAAGUUGAAAUUUUGCAUUGGCUAUGCCUGCUUGGUGGGGCCUAGGUCACAUUGCUGUGCUACAAAGGGGGUCAAGGAGGCAAGUUUUCUCAUAGGAAAUGCCUCAGACUUUAUAAGCGUGUUGAAAAGUGCUGGGUAUUCAGAAAACAUGUCACAUGAACAUGAGAUAAUGUGUUACCUCAGCAUUAAGGCCUUCUCUGACAACCCCAGUACAUUUUCCCCACAGCAGCCCCAUCAGUCUUUUCCUGUACUCUGUCAUUUUCUUCAAGGCACUUGUCACAACUUGUAUUGUUAUGUACUUAAUUUGUUCAAAUGUCUUAUAAAUUCUGGGGCCAUAGAGUCUAUGCGUGGAGUUUCAAAUAAGUAUAUUUCAAACAGCCAAAAAUAAUUUUAAAAUGUAUUUUAGUCUUUAGCAUGGGCCUCUUGAAAGAAAAAAGAAUAAAAAAGGCUCCAAGUCACAGUUCCCAGCAGUUCCCGUAGUUUCUGUUUGUUGUUUUGUUUUGUUUUUUCUUAUUUCCAUGGCUGCUUUUGCAGUGUUUCCAUAGUUUCAAAUUCCCUCCUCUCUCUUCUUUAAUUCUCCCCAAUCCUUAUGUGGAUCUGUUUAGCUACUCUCCAUAAACCUUUCCCUUAGAGCUCACCUUUCAAAUGCUUUUCUGCCUGUUCUCUUAUUUUGCAUCACAAACAUCCAGAACAGGUCUGAGAGGUACACUUUCUUAGGACACUGGGGAGAGAAGUGGAGAGGCAAAGUCUUUAUCAGCCUGGAGGCUGGGGAAGAUUUACACACUGAUCAGUUUUCUGUACCACUUCUGAUUGACCUACAGAUUAGAAGUCUGAGGAGGACAGGGACAAUAUCUGUUCUAUUUGUAACUCCCACAAUCUGACAAAUAUGUAGUCAACAUUUGUUUUCUGGAAAAAGAAAAGUCGAGCAAUUGAGGUAUGGGAAAAGAAGUAUACAGCACAGAGCAAGGAUUCUUGACAUAGUGAAGGUGAAACCACCUUUGCAGAAAUUAUGACAGCCAAUUAUGACAGUGAAAGAGAUCUGACCUAGCCAACUCCAUCUCACUUCUAACCCCCAAGCUGUUCUUGUGCAUUCCUGAGUGUAGGCGGAACUAACUUUGGGAGGAACUUAGUUUUACUUUGAAACAAAGAUGACAACAGUCCUAUCUCAGAACAAACCCCCUUCCUGCCUGGGGACCAGACUUUGUAGGACUAACAAAUGAGCCACAACAUUAGAAAUUAUAGUUUAGGAGUCAUGCAGCUAGAGGCCACAAGAUUCUAAGCCUCCCCAAUUGCUCCUAGGGAUAACAUCACUAUUAUAAAACCUACGAUUGGUGCUCAAGGUAUUUUCAGACCCCUCCCUGGAUGGAUCAGCUGCUCCCACCCAGACUGAUGGUCUUGUGGCUUCCACUCAGGAACUGACUCAGCACAAGAGGACAGCUUUGACUCCCCAUUCCUGGGGGACCAGUCAGCACUCCCCACUACCUGCCCCCCAUCCAUGAGAUUAUCCUUAAAAACCCCAGUCUCCGAAUUUUCAGGGAGACUGAUCUGAGCAAUAAUAAAACGGCAGUCUCCUGUACAACCAGCUGUGUGAAUUAAACUCUUUCUCUGUUACAAUUCCUUUGUCUUGAUAAAUCGGCUCUAUUUGGGCAGUGGGCAAAAUGAACCUGAUGGGCAGUUACUAAGGGUGAAGUGUGGGAGUAGGGUUACAGAUUAAAGGAUAGUUUAGGAAGGCAUCCCAGAGGUGAGGCCAAAGCAGAAUCUUGAAGGGCAAGAAUUAUCCAGGCAAAGAAGGUAAGGAUAGAGAAGAGUAUUCAGGCCAGGCAUGGUGGCUCACGCCUGUAAUCAUAGCUCUUUGGGAGGCUGAGGUGGGCAGGUCACGAGCCUGGAAGUUUAAGACCAGCCUGGGCAACACGGUGAAACUCCAUCUCUACAGAAAAUACAAAAAAAUUAGCCGGGCAUGGUGUUGCAUGCCUGUAGUCCCAUCUACUUGGGAGGCAGAGGUGGAAGGAUCACCUGAACCCAGGGAGGUCAAGGCUGCAGUGAGCUGUAAUUGCGCCACUGGACUGCAGCCUGGGUGACAGAGUAAGACCCUAUCUCAAAAAAAAGAGUAUUCCAGAUAGACAUAUAGCACAAGCUCAGACAAAUAUCAGAUAGCUUGGGGUGGUGUUGCUAAAUGCAAAGUAGAAAUGUCAGGAGGUGAGGCCGGAAAGGUACAAGUGGCAUGGAGGGCCUUGUAUGGCACUCCAUGAGGCUGGGCUUUUUCCUAUGGGCUAUGAAGCCACAGUGUGGGUGGGGUGGGAGUCAUAUUCAGAUUUUCAUUUGAGACGGAUCAUCAGGUGACACUGUAGAGGUUGGAUUUCAAAGAGGCACAACUAAAAAUAGGAAGAAUAGUUGUAAGUUAAAAAAUAAUGUAGGCCUGAAACAGGACAGUAGUACUGAGGAGGGGUAAGUAGUAGGAAUACUUUUAAAGAAAUUAUUUGGAGAUCAAAUUGGCAGUGCAGGGUGGGUUACUGGAUAGGGAAGAUGAGGGAGGAAUCUAAAAUAGUGUCCAAACUUUUGGCUCGGACAAUGAUGUCAUUUAGGUAGAAAAAAUUGAGGAGUAAUAGGUUGGCAGUAGUGGGGAAGGUAGGAAGAUUUCCAGUUCCGUAUGGUGAAGUGGUUCUUAAAGUCCCUAUGGGAUUCCUGAAUUUAGAUGUUCAGCAGGUACUCAGAUCAGCUUAUGGCAAAGGCCAGGGUCAGAGAUACAGACUUGAGGAGAGAGCAGCAUGGGGGUGAGAGUGUGUUCAGAAGGGCUGUGGGAGUGCUCUGGGAGUGGCUGCUGUUCCGAGGCUGGCAUUUGGCCCUGUUGACAUUCUUUUCUCUUCCCACCUUCCUUGGUGUUUCUCUUACCUCUGAUCAUUCCUUCUCCAAAUGCUUUACAGGCUCGUCUUCCUCUUCCCAUAGAAUGUGUUAUUCCUGUGUGAUUUCACCACCUGGGACCCCUACUGUGCCUCCAUCAAACCUUUAUCUCCAGCUCAGAAUUCUUAUAUAAGAUUGAGACGUAUGUCUCCAACUGCUUUCUAAGAGAAAAGAGGUAGUCAGUAGCGUGGACUGAUUAUCCAGGGACCACACAAAGGGUUUGUACUUCACUGUCCUAUUGUAUUCAGGACUGGCACUGUGAAUUGAUCCUGGCUGUGACUAUCUCUUGUUUUCUCUGAAAAUACCAAAUGUGGAAAUCAGGAGUCAGAUUUCAGACUUGUUAAUAAGCAUUAUUAACACACACACCCCCACUAUAAUCCUUCUGUAACUUAUUAACUUCCCCUUUAUGCUUAGUGUAUUGUUAUCUUUUCAUCAGGAACCAAAAUUAACCCAAAAUGGAAAUAAAAAUUUAAAUCUUAUUGAUACAGAAGAAAAAUUACUGUCCUGUUCAUAAAAAAAGGAAAAAUAGUUUACAUGGAUCCACCUUGUUUAAAACAAAAAUCACAACUCGUUUUGUGAAAAAGAGGUGCUUUUUACUCUAGUAUUCCUUGUUCUGGGAUCACUUAAUCACUAUUUCGAUGAUGAAGGAACUCUGAACUCCUAAGCAAACCAUGCCAUGACAUACUUUAUAUAUAUGCACAAAAGUUGGAUAAAACACAAAACCAGCAUUUUGACAAAUUCACUUUAAAAUGUUUUCCACAUCAACUACUUAAAAGAAGUUACAGCAAUAUGAUCUUCCACUGCUCAGGAAGACAGAGUGAACUUGGAUAUGAUGAAUAUUAAAAACAAACAUACAGAGCACCUGGGUCUGGACUUGUGGGCUAAAGAAAUGCUUCCUGAAUUUGUCCGAGGUGAUGUGUUGAGCAACCGUGCCACAGUUCACCAGCAGUGACACUCUAGUUCUUCAGUAUAUUCCUGUUGUGAACCUAUUUCUUUGAAUUUAAUCAUCUGGGAUGAUUGCUGCAGUGUGAGUCUUUAGCAUUUUGAAAAUCCCACAGAAGAGAUUAAGAAGGUUCCUCUUCCCAGAAGACACUCAUAUAAAGCAUGCUUCUAUAGGGUUAACUGUUCAGAAAUUGUAAGGUGCAUGGUCAUCACCAGGUAAGCAGCUCUACAGGGGCCCAUGGCCCAUACUCAUCCUUGCGUGCCCAGGGGAGCCAGCGUGCAUAUGAGCAGUAGGGAAGUGGCAUAACAACGCAGAAGGGCUCAGGACAACUUGGCAUUUUUGUUGUUGUUAAACUCAGGCUUAUCAAGAGUCAUAAGGACUCAUCUCAGUUUGUAUAUACACCUUCAGACCCAUACAGAUAGAUGCAUAAGAAUAUGAUCAUUUCUGUUCUUCACAGAGUACUCAGAAUUCUGACAAGAAACAUCACAAGUUUAUAUAAAUGCCCAUUUGCAUAGCAGCUUACAAAUUCAAUAGUUGUCAGAGGCUUGACGCGGUGGGUCAUGCCUGUAAUCUCAGCACUUUGGGAGGCCGAGGCGGGCAGAUCACUUGAGGUCAGGAGUUUGAGAUCAGCUUGGCCAACAUGGCAAAACUCCGUCUCUACUAAAAAUACAAAAAUUACCUGGGUGUGGUGACGGGCGCCUGUAAUCCCAGCUACUCAGGAGGCUGAGGCAGGAGAAUCACUUGAAUUCGGGAGGCAGAGUUUGCAGUGAGCUGAGAUCAUGCCACUGUACUCCAGCCUGGGUGACAAUGAAACUCUGUCUCAAAAAAAAAGUUAUCAGAGAAUAGUAGAUACUGUUUUAGCCAUCAGUUUUCGCUGAGAGUACUUCUGACACCCAUAGGAAAUUGUAAAGGUUUUCUCCUCAAGUUGUAAAUUCCUUUUAUCCAUUUAUGACAUUUUCUCUAUCAUAUACUAAAUUCUAUCCAUCCUCACAUUGAUUUAUUACUGUCACCAAAAUACAUUCGAACUGUUUGUAUACACACAUAUAUAGGUGUAUAUGUAUGUGUGUGUGUAUAUAUAUAUUUAUUUGGUUGAAUCUUAUGAAACUGCUAAUUUUUUACCAUUUUUGACCUAUGAAAAUAGUUUUUUUCAUAGGGUUGAACCUAACAAAAUCUGAACUUUAGCUAGCUGGCUAUAUCUCAUAUACUAUGCAGUACUUUCUGCUUUACUUCAGCAGGAAGAAUGAAAAUGCUUACCCCAUUCACCAGUUCUUAUGCAGCCUUGCAAAACUGUGCUUGCAAACUGCUGGUGAAUUUCAUGAAAAUACUUAGAGGUAUAGUAAUUUUCAUAUAUUUAGCAUUUAACUGAAAAAAAGGUCCAAACUGAGCAUAUUAUCUUUGUAACUACAUCACCCACUACUUAACUGGAACAGCCUACCUUAUAAAGAUGGCUUUUGCAGACUUAAGGCCAGGUCUAGAAUCAAUAGGCCAAACAAUAAAAUAUCAAAACAUUUUCAACUGGGAUUCUGCUACCUCUGUGUCCUCCAUAACACUCAAUAUUUAGAGUGCCCGAGACACUGCGCUAAGCACCAGUAAAAGAGAAACGCCCCAAAAACUUCAAGAAACUUACCAUCUUUCAAGAAAUAUAAAAAUAUAAAUAAUAAGAGAAUAUUCUAAGAGUUUUAAGUUUCAAACUGGGACAGAGUAAAAUGUAAAAAGACAGCACUUCAGAAGUUUUAAACUGACUUCAAACGUUAAGGAAAAAGGCAAAUACAAAUGUGCUUUGAGUCUAAAUCCAGGUCAAUAUGAUAAUCAAAUGUGCUCUCCUCCACAGUUCUGGCCCCAAGAAGUCCUCUUAUCACCCCAUAACAGUGACUAGAGAUCCUCCAGGUCAGUUAAGUCCACGGCCACUUUCAAGAACAGAGUGUCAUCUUUAAUGUAGGCGUUCUUGGCAUUCUCCAAAACAGAAUGAGCCACAAAGCGGGGACAGCCAGAUGCAAUGUUCAUCUCCCCAUCAGGUCUUUUAAAGCUGCUGCUAUUGGGGUCAGGUUUGAAGGUCUCCAUAAUGUUCUUUUUGCCACUCUGGUCCAGAAGCAUCAGGGUCACCCUCUGCCUGAAUGGCCACUGCAACAGUGAGUCAAACUCUCCUCGCAUGACCACAAAGUAUAGGGACAGGUGUGACCCCCUCCCUGACCCAUCCCCAUUCAGGUAUGCUCUAGCACAGAGCCGGUAGCCACAGCGGCUGGUGUAGAAGGACUGGCUGAAGAUGGACACUGUGUGCCCAUCCACCGCCUCUCUCUUCUUCAUCUUGUAAUCUGUCACCUUCCAAAUGAGCUUUCCAUUAUAGCAAGUACCCUCCAGCAGUUUAAAUCGCUCUUCAUUUUUACUCAGCUGUGCUUUAUGAAUAUUAAUGUGGGUAUCAUGUUUGUUAGUUUCCUCUUCUAAAACGGCUGCAAAUAAG